rfam:Myceliophthora thermophila ATCC 42464 chromosome 3, complete sequence.
GGGCGUGUGGCUCAGUUGGUAGAGCGUUCGCUUCGCAUCUUAAGUACGAGAGAAAAAAACUCGAAUACGCGUGCAUGCGAAAAGUCCUGGGUUCGAUUCCCAGCUCGUCCA